rnacentral:rRNA from 1 species
UACGGAGGGUGCAAGCGUUAUCCGGAUUCACUGGGUUUAAAGGGUGCGUAGGUGGGCUUGUAAGUCAGCGGUGAAAUCUCCGGGCUUAACCCGGAAACUGCCAUUGAUACUAUAGGUCUUGAAUUAUCUGGAGGUGAGCGGAAUAUGUCAUGUAGCGGUGAAAUGCUUAGAUAUGACAUAGAACACCAAUUGCGAAGGCAGCUCACUACGGAUCGAUCGACACUGAGGCACGAAAGCGUGGGGAUCAAACAGGGA